rnacentral:lncRNA from 10 species
CCUGGAGUAAACCUCCAGCCCUGGUCCUCGGCCCCCGCCUGGAGAAGUAACCAUGUGGAUUCAGCACUCCUGGCCCUCCGCACUGCUCCAUACUUUCAUACUCACGUUGGAAACAAUGAGUAGUGUUGUGUUGUUUGUUUGAACACUCUGGAUACACCAGCAUCAUAUUGGACAUAUACUUCUGUGGCCAGGUGGUCUUCUUCCAUCCUUAUGUCUUUUAUCUUCAUCCAUUUUGACGUGUGCAGCUCUAGUCCAUUUAUUUUUACUGCUCUCUAGAACUCCACUGUUGGGCACUCCCACAUUAUCCCCUCUCCCAUAGAUGGAAACUUAGAUGUUUUCAUAAUGACAAACAAAUGCCGCAGUCAACACGUGUGCACAUUCAUGCGCAUGCCCAUGGCUGGAACUGUGGGGUCAAGGAUGGGCACAUCUUCAGUUCUACUCAGAAUGCCCCUUUGCAUUCCAGUGUGGUGAGGGAUUGUUGUUGAUUUUGUUUCCUGGUAUUUCCUAAGUUCUGAGGAGAGUGCUUGGCACAUAAUAGGCAUUCAGUAAAUACUUGCUGAACACAUGGAUGGAUGAAUGGAAGAAUGGAUGGAAGGAUGGAAGGAUGGAUGGAUGAAGUGAUCAAUGGAUGAUGGGAUGAAUGGAUGGAUGGAUGAAGGGACGAAGGGAUGGAUGGAUGGUUGGAUGGAGCAAUGGAUGGAUGGAUAGAUCAAUGGAUGGAUGGAUGAAAAGAUGAAUGGAUGAAUGGAUGGAAAAAUGGAUGAAGGGAUGAAGAGUAAAUGGAUGGAUGGAUGGAUGGAGGAAUGGACAUAUGGAUAAAGGGAUGAAUGGGUGAAUGGAUGGAUAAAGGGAUGGAUGGAAGUAAAUGGACGGAUGGAUAAAUGAAUGGAUGGAUGAAGGGGUGAAUGAAUGGUAGACGAUGGAUGAAGGGAUGAGUUGAUGAAGGAAUGGAUGGAUGAAUGGGUGGAUGGAUGGAUGGACGGAUGGAUGAAGGGAUGAAUGGAAGGAAGGAAGGAUGGAUGGAUGGAUGGAUGAAGGGAUGAAUGAGUGGAUGGAUGGAUGGAUGGACGGAUGGAUGAAGGGAUGAAUGGAAGGAAGGAUGGAUGGAUGGAUGAAGGGAUGGAUGGAUUGAUGAAGGGACGGAUGGCUGGAUGGAGUGAUGGAUGAAGGGAUGGAUGGAUGGGUGGAUGGAUGAGGGGAUGGAUGGAUGAGGGGAUGGAUAGAUGGAUGGAUGGAUGUCUUAAAGCUCAGUCAUUUGUGCUACUAUUCACACUGGCUGCAAUUUGUGAGCUUGGAAAACCAGUCCUUUUUUCCAGCCUGAGGUAAGAUCUGAUUCUUCACAAGGCUGUUUCACUACUGACAUGUUUUCAUCAGAUACGUUUGCAUGUUCAUUAACUCAUGUAAACAUUAUUAAAAGGACUAUGUAAACAGCUUCCUACACGUUUCCUCUUGCUUUCAUUCAGGUAUAAUUAUAUGAAAACACAAUGUACCAUAUGUGCCAACGGGCCAUUCCCUUUCUUGUGCUUCCAAACGACAAUUCCCCUCUGCAAACACACUCAGAUACCAGGUCUUUACAUUUCUCCUUCUACUCCAAAUCUAAUCUGCCUUCUGAAGACAAAAAUCUCAAAGCCCCUGCCCAAUGAUAUGGCAGCCAACAAUGUCCAUUCUCACCCUAAUAUGGUCUAGGAACUCACUCUUACCUUUAAAAGUGCUUUGCAAAUUGUAAAAGGGUAUUCAAAAAUGGUUACUUCCUCCUUCACUGUACCCUUGUCACAACUAUUCAAAUAGUCAUAAACAUUCAAUGCUGCCAAACAUGAUGGUGGUUUCCAAUCCUCUUCACCCUACCCAAGUCCAACAUGUCACCCCUCCAAUAGUCACUAUGUCCCCUCACACAGGAAACAUCUCAGAAACAGGCAUGAGUGUCCUGACAGCUGCAGAGGAAUAAGUAUGCUGAAGGUCACUGAAAGUGACUGGCCAGCAGCCUCUAAAUCAGUUCUAUUUUCUUCCUGGCAUACUACUCGUCUAGAUCUUCCAGCCCCCUCCCUUGCAGUUAGGUAUGGCCAUGUGACCGAGUUCUAACACAGUGGUUCUCAACCAGGACAAUUUUGCCUCCCGGGGACAUCUAGCAAUGUCUGGAGAGGAGGCAACUGUGGUUGUCACAACUAGAGGAGAGAGGAGAGUUCUAUGGGAAUCUAGUGAGUCUCUGAGGCCAGAGAGCAUCCUGCUGAACAUUCCACAAUGCACAAGACAGCUCCUCACAACAAUAAACACCAUUCACAGGCUUUGUGGCUUUGUUCUAACUCUGAUUAGCCUUUGGCCAGCUCAAAUGCCCAUGGUGCCAAAACCCUACACUCACCCUGUACUAAUAGUUGAGAAACCCAGUUCUAACCAAUGGAAUGUGAGCUAAUGUGUUGGAGCCAAUUCCUUGCCUGAUCCAUAAAAACCAGCCAAGUGCAGUUGUCCAAGCUCUUUCCUCUUCCUUAGUCUGGGUGGAGAUGAUCCCAGGCAACUUGGAAGCCACACGCCGAAUACAAUGGGGCCACAAAAAUGGGAAGAGCUUACAUCUGUCACUGCUUGAAUGAGAGCUGUCUGCCCAUCAGUAACACACAUUUUACACUACGAAAUAAACUAGCAUGUUAGAGAUCUGGGUUUGUUCAAGAUACCAGCUGGCAUUAGCUAACUCAGUCACAAAUACUUUUGCUUGUUUUCUUGAAUAGAUUCUCCAAUAUAUGGAGCUCCAUUUGAGCCAACAUCACCUGGGGGACAUCUGGAUUGGCCAGUCCUAUUUCAAGUGGGAGAGGGAUCUCCAGGGUACAUUUCUCUGGAAAUCAACUUAUAACUGAUAUAACGAGCUGGCUUAUGCAAAGACACAGGAGGGGUCUGUGGGCCCAUUUAAGUCUCUGAGGAACUUUUGAAAUUGGUCCUCUUUAGAUAAGCUCGCUACAGUUCACCUCUGGCCAUUCUAGUCCUAUAGGACUUCAAAUUUGAAUCUCUAUACUCUAUGUGCUGCAAGUUUAGUCGAAGAUAUCUUCUCUUGCCCAGUUAUCUUAACCAGUCAGAGCUUAGUAAAAAUAAAUGCAAGUUCCUAUUUCUUUACAGAUUUACUAUAUCUGUCAUAAGGCGUUUCUGCAAUUGUAGUGAUCGUUUACUGAGGAGGUUGCUAAAUUUAGCAGAUGAAAUAUAAGGACAUACUCAUACUAAGAAAAAUUAUUCUAUUCAUUGUCCAGCCAAAACUUAAAUUUAAAUAGGUUUCCUGCAUUUUAUCUGGCAACCGUAUUUACUGAGCACUUAUAUUUUUCCAGGUACUACAUCUGAGAUACAUUCAAAUCCUCAAAAUAACACUGAGCGGGGCGCCACUAUCGUCUCCAUUUUCAAAUGGGGCAAGAGAAUGCAAAAGGCUAGGUUCUCUCCCUGGGCCACAGCCCACCUGCCAUUGGCAGUGCUGGGAUCCCAAAGCAGCCAACACAUGGGCUCUUCUCGCCUGGUCCAAUGCUCAGAGGUGUGCCCGCAGGCAAGAUCUGCUCAGGGAAUGCUCCUUAUUUCACCACCAUUCCUUUAAAACCUACAGAAAGCAUAGUCUUUUUUUCUAAUGGGCAAUCGUCAAAACACAGUGGCUGUAAGGGAACCUGAAGAUGUGGUGAGGAUGGUUAAGA